UGUAAUAAAGAUAAUCUAACGUUUUACCUAAUGAUAUAUAAGGAGGGCAUUUGCACAACAUGUUUCACAACAGCACACAACAAAAUUCCAGAGACAUAUUGAGCGACCAACUGAUACCAAUCACGACCACACCCAGAGACAGAUGGCUGACUUAAGCCCUAGCCACACGAACUGACCACUGGUGUAAAGAACAACAUUCCAUGAAUAUCGCAAGCACCCAGACACGAAUUACCAGAAAUACACACACACCCACACACACACUUAGGUGUGUUGGACUCCGAGGACAAAGGACACUGCCAAGGGCCAAUGGGAAGUCGACACCACCUGGAGAGUGGAGGAUUCAUUCAAAUAUGAGGAGCACAUGUUAGAUGAGACCAUCUAUUGGGAUGCAUGAAUUAGUUUGAAUUUGUGUGAAAUUUCUGAAUCCAAUCAAAAUAGAUGUGUUAUAAUGUAUGUGAAAUAUCUAGCAAAACGGGUGGAUUGUAAUGGAAAUGAUAUGAUUUUAAUCCCUAUUGAGACUUGACAAGCUAUCUGCUGAGGUGAGACGUGAAGAGGGGGACUCACAAAAUUUGUCUCAAAAUUUGUUUUCACUCCCGCUGUGCCGCAGAUUGUUCUUUUUUGUCACGUCUUGCAGACGUGAAGAGGGGGAUUUGUAAUAAAGAUAAUCUAACGUUUUACCUAAUGAUACAUAAGGAGGGCAUUUGCACAACAUGUUUCACAACAGCACACAACAAAAUUCCAGAGACAUAUUGAGCGACCAACUGAUACCAAUCACGACCACACCCAGAGACAGAUGGCUGACUUAAGCCCUAGCCACACGAACUGACCACUGGUGUAAAGAACAACAUUCCAUGAAUAUCGCAAGCACCCAGACACGAAUUACCAGAAAUACACACACACCCACACACACACUUAGGUGUGUUGGACUCCGAGGACAAAGGACACUGCCAAGGGCCAAUGGGAAGUCGACACCACCUGGAGAGUGGACCGUCCCUCCACUCAUCGACCAGUCAGGAGAGCGGACCUACUAGACUCAACGUCAACACACUGUUAUUUCAUUGUAUAAAUUGGAUGUAUACUAUGUUUCGGGGCUCUCUUCUGCUAGUUCCCUAUGAGCUAAACGAAGGAGUCCGUGCACGCUUUGCCAAAUAUCUUUGUCUCAUAAUAAACUGCCUUACUAUAAACUGAA
rnacentral:lncRNA from 1 species